UCAGCUUGCCUUUCUGCUGAACUGUACUGUAUCCAAACCCAUUCGUAUUUUGGGCUCGUCCAUGUGAAAGCAAAGAAAGAGUCUUAAUACCCUACCGUUCAGUAGUUUUAUUGAUGAGAUUAUUUAUUUUCAAGGUUUGAGGUCACGUCUCUUGUUGUACCAAAGAAGCAAUAAACAUGGUUUCUUACUCUCUUGCAUGUUUUUUUUAUAGCUGGGUUCAAUGAAAAGAAGUCACUUACAGUUGUUCAGAUACGUAAAGCUUUUUAAAUACUGGCAUUUCUGUAGGCCUGUGUUUAUGAUGUUAGUGCUUUGUUCUACAGAGAAAUUAAAAAGCCCUUUCUGCUCCCCAG
rnacentral:lncRNA from 1 species